UCAAUAAUGUUUUUGUAGAAGAUCAAAUCACCUGACAACGCAAAAUACUUACUCAUGCGUACGGUUCACAAUUAUUUGCGGUCAGUUUUCCUCAGUUUGUAUGAUUCUCAUUAACCAGUAUGAUUAAAUUUGCAGACUAAAACACCCCUUAUUUGAUUAAGAAUAAUAAAAGUAAACAGUGCAUGUCGGUUUUUAAUUCCUGAUGGAUGCUACUGGGCUUUACUUUAACUGAGAAAUUUGCAGUCGCUUACCUCAGCUCUCUGUGUCUCAUGCCGUAAGAAGCACAAGAAAAAAGUUGAUGAUAGUGAGUCUUGGCUGAGACAAGAAGAAUCAGAGAAGAAUCUACGGUCCCCAGAAACGCCACUUUUAAACACGAGACAACUAAGUAACAGUUUCCAGGAUCCAAGGGAAGCAAAAGAGAGAACAAUUUUCUGUGUAGCUAGGUAAGGCGACAUGCCGGCUUUAUACUUCUUCCGGCGUGAUAACGAUAAUGAUGACAACAAUGAGCAAAAAGCACCGUCCGCUAAUGAUGACGAUUAUCAAAGUUAUUAACAAAUCUCAGUUAUAGUCCUGAAAAAAUCUCAGGGGGUCCUUUGAACAAUCCACUUAAUCUCGCCAGAAGUCAAAGCUGCCUACACUCAUUCUAAGGUUCGUGCAAUUUUACGACGAAUUUUCAAUUCCGGUGUGUUGCAUGCGCGACUUUUGAUAGAAAAAAACCUGCACGCACCAUAACUUAAAAGAACGUUUCAGCGGAAUGAAUCAAAUCUCUAUCACUUUGCAUACAUUCUUGGGAACAGAAAAAAAUUACUUAGAGCAAACAUUCUAAGUAUAGUGUUCAUUCCGUGCAAUGGGGCAUAAAUAAAAGGUUCUGGUGGAAAAGACACCUUAUUUUAUACCACUGAUGACAAGCAAAAAGGUUAUAUGGGUACCCGGUUAAAAAUAUAUUGAUAACUCUAUUAAUUAAUACCAGUUCUAAUUUAAAGGAGAAAGUUAUGAGAAUAAAA